UACGGAGGGGGCUAGCGUUGUUCGGAAUUACUGGGCGUAAAGCGCACGUAGGCGGCUUUGUAAGUUAGAGGUGAAAGCCCGGGGCUCAACUCCGGAAUUGCCUUUAAGACUGCAUCGCUAGAAUUGUGGAGAGGUAAGUGGAAUUCCGAGUGUAGAGGUGAAAUUCGUAGAUAUUCGGAAGAACACCAGUGGCGAAGGCGACUUACUGGACACUAUAUUGACG
rnacentral:rRNA from 1 species